UACGAAGGGGGCUAGCGUUGUCCGGAAUUAUUGGGCGUAAAGAGCUCGUAGGCGGCUUGUUGCGUCGACUGUGAAAACCCGCGGCUUAACUGCGGGCUUGCAGUUGAUACGGGCAGGCUAGAGUUCGGUAGGGGAGACUGGAAUUCCUGGUGUAGCGGUGAAAUGCGCAGAUAUCAGGAGGAACACCGGUGGCGAAGGCGGGUCUCUGGGCCGAUACUGACGCUGAGGAGCGAAAGCGUGGGGAGCGAACAGG
rnacentral:rRNA from 1 species